AGUGAACGCUGGCGGUAGGCCUAACACAUGCAAGUCGAACGGCAGCACAGUAAGAGCUUGCUCUUACGGGUGGCGAGUGGCGGACGGGUGAGGAAUACAUCGGAAUCUACUUUUUCGUGGGGGAUAACGUAGGGAAACUUACGCUAAUACCGCAUACGACCUACGGGUGAAAGCAGUGGAUCUUCGGACCUUGCGCGAUUGAAUGAGCCGAUGUCGGAUUAGCUAGUUGGCGGGGUAAAGGCCCACCAAGGCGACGAUCCGUAGCUGGUCUGAGAGGAUGGUCCGCCACUCUGGAACUGAGACACGGUCCAGGCUCCUACGGGAGGCAGCAGUGGGGAAUAUUGGACAAUGGGCGCAAGCCUGAUCCAGCCAUGCCGCGUGGGUGAAGAAGGCCUUCGGGUUGUAAAGCCCUUUUGUUGGGAAAGAAAAGCAGCAGGUUAAUACCCCGCUGUUCUGACGGUACCCAAAGAAUAAGCACCGGCUAACUUCGU
rnacentral:rRNA from 1 species